rnacentral:rRNA from 1 species
GUAGGGUGCAAGCGUUAUCCGGAUUUAUUGGGCGUAAAGGGUUUCGUAGGCGGCUUGGUAAGUAGUGGGUUAAAGCCCCGGGCUCAACUCGGGAAAAGCUCAUUAAACUGCCAAGCUAGAAAGUUGUCGGGGAGGCUGGAAUUCUGCAUGUAGGGGUGAAAUCCGUUGAUAUGCAGAGGAACACCGAGGGCGAAGGCAGGCCUCUAGGCAAAUUUUGACGCCGAUGAACGAAAGCUAGGGUAGCAAAUGGGAUUAGAGACCCCAGUAGUCCUAGCCGUAAACGACGUCCGCUAGCUGACCGAUCCCGACGUUUCGUCGGAUUGGGUGGCGUAGCUAACGCGUUAAGCGGACCGCCUGGGAAGUACGACCGCAAGGUUA